CUGGGACACACUCCUGUUCAGUCAAAGCAGUUGCAGUAUUGUAGUUAGCUCAUCCUAUCGGGCUAUUAGUGUGGGCAUGUCUUUAUAUGUGUGUGUGUGUGUAGUAGUAGUAGUAGUAAGAGAGAGAGAGAGAGAGAGACCACAAAGAACGACUCGUAAAACCGAAGAGUCCAUGAAGAUUCGCCACGUGGGGCCAGGCAGAAUUUGGCAUUUCGGAGGUGCUCAAAGUAUUCUGUCCUUCCCAGUUUUUCGGGUCCACUGAACUUCAACUCUGGAGAUUCCAACUGUUCAGAAAGUCAAUACUCGCAUCUUUUGAAGGAAAUAUCUCU